UACGGGGGGGGCAAGCGUUGUUCGGAAUUACUGGGCGUAAAGGGCUCGUAGGCGGCCAACUAAGUCAGACGUGAAAUCCCUCGGCUUAACCGGGGAACUGCCUUUGAUACUGGCGAUCUCGAGUUCGGGAGAGGUGAGUGGAACUGCGAGUGUAGAGGUGAAAUUCGUAGAUAUUCGCAAGAACACCAGUGGCGAAGGCGGCUCACUGGCCCGAUACUGACGCUGAGGUGCGAAAGCGUGGGGAGCAAACAGG
rnacentral:rRNA from 1 species